rnacentral:tRNA from 1 species
GGGCUGGUAGCUCAGUGGUUAGAGCACACGACUCAUAAUCGUUUGGCCGUCAGUUCGAAUCUGACCCAGCCUA